rnacentral:rRNA from 1 species
AACGAACGCUGGCGGCGCGCCUAAUACAUGCAAGUCGAGCGAGAAGACGUAGCAAUACGUUUGUAAAGCGGCGAACGGGUGAGGAAUACAUGGGUAACCUACCCUCGAGUGGGGAAUAACUAGCCGAAAGGUUGGCUAAUACCGCGUACGCUCCUUGGACUUCGGUUCAGGGAGGAAAGCGAUACCGUGGGUAUCGCGCUCUUGGAUGGGCUCAUGUCCUAUCAGCUUGUUGGNGAGGUAACGGCUCACCAAGGCUUCGACGGGUAGCUGGUCUGAGAGGACGAUCAGCCACACUGGCACUGCGACACGGGCCAGACUCCUACGGGAGGCAGCAGUAAGGAAUAUUGCGCAAUGGGCGAAAGCCUGACGCAGCGACGCCGCGUGGGGGA